rnacentral:lncRNA from 1 species
CACAGCAAUCGAUGAGAAGCAGGGAUCGCCAUUUACGUAAGAGGAGACUGAGGCAUAGAGCAAUAAGAAAAUGAAUGUAUCUGAAGCCACAAAGCUUUGAAGUGGUGAAUUGAGGACUUAGAGCUAGGCCUGUCUGACUCCAAAACUCAUGCUUUUCCCAGGAAGAAAAACCCAGCCCUGCCCCGAAUCCCUGCCAAAAGCGACCUCCUCCAACUGCAGCCUCAGCACCGACACUCUGAUGCUCACUGGUGUGCCUCCUGCCCGCCUCUGCACCACACAAGGAGCUCUUUGAGGACAAGGACUAUGUUGAACUCAUCUUUGUAUUUCCAGCCAUCAGCACAGUGCCGGGGCCAGGGACGGCAUCAACAAACAUUCUGCUGAAUGAUUGAAUGGUCAAAGAAUAACUUUUUCUUAAGGACAAAAUCGUGACUCUCAUACAACUAACCUAUGUCAAAAAUUGUAUUUAGUUCAUU